GUGUGGGUAAUUUAAUGGCAGAAUAGGCGACUAUUAAUCGUCCAACGGAGGUUCGAUUCCUUCCCCACAUA
rnacentral:tRNA from 3 species